rnacentral:tRNA from 1 species
GGGAAUGUGGCUUAGUGGUAGAGUGCUUGCUUGGCAUGCAUGAAUCCCUGGGUUCGAGUCCCCUGUACCA